GGUUCCACAUCUCUUGCUACCAGCACAGUUACAUUUUACGAAACCCUGGCCUCCUGAUAAAGACUCGGCUCCAACAGCAGUACGAAUGGAUACUGAAGUUUCAUCGUGUGACAAUAAA